rnacentral:rRNA from 1 species
GACAGAGGAUGCGACCGUUGCUCGGAUUGACUGGGCGUAAAGGGCGCGUAGGCGGUUCGUACAGUCAGACGUGAAAUUCCUGGGCUCAACCUGGGGGCUGCGUUUGAUACGUGCGGACUUGAGUGCGGAAGAGGGUCGUGGAAUUCCCAGUGUAGAGGUGAAAUUCGUAGAUAUUGGGAAGAACACCGGUGGCGAAGGCGGCGACCUGGUCCGAUACUGACGCUGAGGCGCGAAAGCGUGGGGAGCAAACAGG